CAGCAGCCGCGGGAAUACCGAGGGUGCAAGCGUUAAUCGGAAUUACUGGGCGUAAAGCGCGCGUAGGUGGUUUGUUAAGUUGGAUGUGAAAGCCCCGGGCUCAACCUGGGAACUGCAUCCAAAACUGGCAAGCUAGAGUACGGUAGAGGGUGGUGGAAUUUCCUGUGUAGCGGUGAAAUGCGUAGAUAUAGGAAGGAACACCAGUGGCGAAGGCGACCACCUGGACUGAUACUGACACUGAGGUGCGAAAGCGUGGGGAGCAAACAGGAUUAGAUACCCCAGUAGUCCUGUCUCUUAUACA
rnacentral:rRNA from 1 species